GCUCCUGUGGCCUAGUGGUUAGAGCGUCCGUCCCGUAUGCGGAAGUUCGUGGAUUCGAACACCGGCCGAGUCA